UUAAGCGACUAAGCGUACACGGUGGAUGCCCUGGCAGUCAGAGGCGAUGAAGGACGUGCUAAUCUGCGAUAAGCGUCGGUGAGGUGAUAUGAACCGUUAUAACCGGCGAUUUCCGAAUGGGGAAACCCAGUGUGUUUCGACACACUAUCAUUAACUGAAUCCAUAGGUUAAUGAGGCGAACCGGGGGAACUGAAACAUCUAAGUACCCCGAGGAAAAGAAAUCAACCGAGAUUCCCCCAGUAGCGGCGAGCGAACGGGGAGGAGCCCAGAGCCUGAAUCAGUGUGUGUGUUAGUGGAAGCGUCUGGAAAGGCGUGCGAUACAGGGUGACAGCCCCGUACACAAAAAUGCACAUAUUGUGAGCUCGAUGAGUAGGGCGGGACACGUGGUAUCCUGUCUGAAUAUGGGGGGACCAUCCUCCAAGGCUAAAUACUCCUGACUGACCGAUAGUGAACCAGUACCGUGAGGGAAAGGCGAAAAGAACCCCGGCGAGGGGAGUGAAAAAGAACCUGAAACCGUGUACGUACAAGCAGUGGGAGCCUCUUAAUGGGGUGACUGCGUACCUUUUGUAUAAUGGGUCAGCGACUUAUAUUCUGUAGCAAGGUUAACCGAAUAGGGGAGCCGAAGGGAAACCGAGUCUUAACUGGGCGUUAAGUUGCAGGGUAUAGACCCGAAACCCGGUGAUCUAGCCAUGGGCAGGUUGAAGGUUGGGUAACACUAACUGGAGGACCGAACCGACUAAUGUUGAAAAAUUAGCGGAUGACUUGUGGCUGGGGGUGAAAGGCCAAUCAAACCGGGAGAUAGCUGGUUCUCCCCGAAAGCUAUUUAGGUAGCGCCUCGUGAAUUCAUCUCCGGGGGUAGAGCACUGUUUCGGCAAGGGGGUCAUCCCGACUUACCAACCCGAUGCAAACUGCGAAUACCGGAGAAUGUUAUCACGGGAGACACACGGCGGGUGCUAACGUCCGUCGUGAAGAGGGAAACAACCCAGACCGCCAGCUAAGGUCCCAAAGUCAUGGUUAAGUGGGAAACGAUGUGGGAAGGCCCAGACAGCCAGGAUGUUGGCUUAGAAGCAGCCAUCAUUUAAAGAAAGCGUAAUAGCUCACUGGUCGAGUCGGCCUGCGCGGAAGAUGUAACGGGGCUAAACCAUGCACCGAAGCUGCGGCAGCGACACUAUGUGUUGUUGGGUAGGGGAGCGUUCUGUAAGCCUGUGAAGGUGGCCUGUGAGGGUUGCUGGAGGUAUCAGAAGUGCGAAUGCUGACAUAAGUAACGAUAAAGCGGGUGAAAAGCCCGCUCGCCGGAAGACCAAGGGUUCCUGUCCAACGUUAAUCGGGGCAGGGUGAGUCGACCCCUAAGGCGAGGCCGAAAGGCGUAGUCGAUGGGAAACAGGUUAAUAUUCCUGUACUUGGUGUUACUGCGAAGGGGGGACGGAGAAGGCUAUGUUGGCCGGGCGACGGUUGUCCCGGUUUAAGCGUGUAGGCUGGUUUUCCAGGCAAAUCCGGAAAACCAAGGCUGAGGCGUGAUGACGAGGCACUACGGUGCUGAAGCAACAAAUGCCCUGCUUCCAGGAAAAGCCUCUAAGCAUCAGGUAACAUCAAAUCGUACCCCAAACCGACACAGGUGGUCAGGUAGAGAAUACCAAGGCGCUUGAGAGAACUCGGGUGAAGGAACUAGGCAAAAUGGUGCCGUAACUUCGGGAGAAGGCACGCUGAUAUGUAGGUGAAGCGACUUGCUCGUGGAGCUGAAAUCAGUCGAAGAUACCAGCUGGCUGCAACUGUUUAUUAAAAACACAGCACUGUGCAAACACGAAAGUGGACGUAUACGGUGUGACGCCUGCCCGGUGCCGGAAGGUUAAUUGAUGGGGUUAGCGGCAACGCGAAGCUCUUGAUCGAAGCCCCGGUAAACGGCGGCCGUAACUAUAACGGUCCUAAGGUAGCGAAAUUCCUUGUCGGGUAAGUUCCGACCUGCACGAAUGGCGUAAUGAUGGCCAGGCUGUCUCCACCCGAGACUCAGUGAAAUUGAACUCGCUGUGAAGAUGCAGUGUACCCGCGGCAAGACGGAAAGACCCCGUGAACCUUUACUAUAGCUUGACACUGAACAUUGAGCCUUGAUGUGUAGGAUAGGUGGGAGGCUUUGAAGUGUGGACGCCAGUCUGCAUGGAGCCGACCUUGAAAUACCACCCUUUAAUGUUUGAUGUUCUAACGUGGGCCCGUAAUCCGGGUUGCGGACAGUGUCUGGUGGGUAGUUUGACUGGGGCGGUCUCCUCCUAAAGAGUAACGGAGGAGCACGAAGGUUGGCUAAUCCUGGUCGGACAUCAGGAGGUUAGUGCAAUGGCAUAAGCCAGCUUGACUGCGAGCGUGACGGCGCGAGCAGGUGCGAAAGCAGGUCAUAGUGAUCCGGUGGUUCUGAAUGGAAGGGCCAUCGCUCAACGGAUAAAAGGUACUCCGGGGAUAACAGGCUGAUACCGCCCAAGAGUUCAUAUCGACGGCGGUGUUUGGCACCUCGAUGUCGGCUCAUCACAUCCUGGGGCUGAAGUAGGUCCCAAGGGUAUGGCUGUUCGCCAUUUAAAGUGGUACGCGAGCUGGGUUUAGAACGUCGUGAGACAGUUCGGUCCCUAUCUGCCGUGGGCGCUGGAGAACUGAGGGGGGCUGCUCCUAGUACGAGAGGACCGGAGUGGACGCAUCACUGGUGUUCGGGUUGUCAUGCCAAUGGCACUGCCCGGUAGCUAAAUGCGGAAGAGAUAAGUGCUGAAAGCAUCUAAGCACGAAACUUGCCCCGAGAUGAGUUCUCCCUGACUCCUUGAGAGUCCUGAAGGAACGUUGAAGACGACGACGUUGAUAGGCCGGGUGUGUAAGCGCAGCGAUGCGUUGAGCUAACCGGUACUAAUGAACCGUGAGGCUUAACCUU
rnacentral:rRNA from 1 species